rnacentral:rRNA from 1 species
CGGAGGGUGCAAGCGUUAUCCGGAUUUACUGGGUUUAAAGGGUGCGUAGGUGGGUCUGUAAGUCAGUGGUGAAAUCUCCGAGCUUAACUCGGAAACUGCCAUUGAUACUAUAGAUCUUGAAUUAUCUGGAGGUAAGCGGAAUAUGUCAUGUAGCGGUGAAAUGCUUAGAUAUGACAUAGAACACCAAUUGCGAAGGCAGCUUACUACGGAUCGAUUGACACUGAGGCACGAAAGCGUGGGGAUCAAACAGGAUUAGAUACCCUGGUAGUCCACGCCCUAAACGAUGGAUACUCGACAUUUGCGAUAUACUGUAAGUGUCUGAGCGAAAGCAUUAAGUAUCCCACCUGGAAGUACGAUCGCAAGAUUG